UAAUACGUAGGAGGCAAGCGUUAUCCGGAUUUAUUGGUCGUAAAGAGGGCGCAGGCGGUCUUUCAAGUCGGAUGUGAAAUCUCCCAGCUUAACUGGGAGGGGUCAUGCGAUACUGUUGGGCUAGAGGGCAGUAGAGGGAGGUGGAAUUCCCGGUGUAGUGGUGAAAUGCGUAGAUAUCGGGAGGAACACCAGUGGCGAAGGCGGCCUCCUGGGCUGUACCUGACGCUGAGGCCCAAAAGCGUGGGGAGCAAACAGGAUUAGAUACCCUGGUAGUCCACGCCGUAAACUAUGGACACUAGGUAGGGGGAGUAUCGACCCUUUCCCUGCCGAAGCUAACGCUUUAAGUGUCCCGCCUGGGAAGUACGGCCGCAAGGCUA
rnacentral:rRNA from 1 species